rnacentral:misc_RNA from 1 species
UCGCAUGGAUGAAGAACGCAGCGAAAUGCGAUACUUGGUGUGAAUUGCAGAAUCCCGUGAACCAUCGAGUCUUUGAACGCWMGUUGCGCCCGAAGCCAUUCGGCCGAGGGCACGUCUGCCUGGGCGUCACGCAUCGCGUCGCCUCCCACACCCACGCCCUAAGGGGUGAUUGGGUGGUGGGGGCGGAAAUUGGCCCCCCGUGCGUUUGCGCGCGGCCGGCCUAAAUGCGAACCCGUGGCGACUCACGUCACGACCAGUGGUGGUUGAACACUCAACUYGCGUGCUGUYUGUCGUGCCGUCUGAGUUGGUCGUCGGGCUUCGUCCCAGACCCUACGGCGCGAUCCUAUUGCUCCUUCGACCGCGACCCCAGGUCAGGCG